rnacentral:rRNA from 1 species
UACGUAGGGUGCAAGCGUUAAUCGGAAUUACUGGGCGUAAAGCGUGCGCAGGCGGUCUUGCAAGACAGAUGUGAAAUCCCCGGGCUCAACCUGGGAACUGCAUUUGUGACUGCAAGGCUGGAGUACGGUAGAGGGGGAUGGAAUUCCGCGUGUAGUAGUGAAAUGCGUAGAUAUGCGGAGGAACACCGAUGGCGAAGGCAAUCCCCUGGGCCUGUACUGACGCUCAUGCACGAAAGCGUGGGGAGCAAACAGG